AUCUGGUACUCAUUUCUUCAGCUGCUCGAGUGCCUUCGCAGGUGAAACCUGUUGGUUGUGUUCUAACUGAACAGCAGAGGAGAAUGCUGGUUGCUGUUCUCCUUGAAAAUACAGUGAAAAUUACAAAUUGAGAAACCUUUUGCUUGGACAUCCUGAGCAAUGGAAGAGCAGGGGUUGCAUCCUCCAUCCCUGCUGUCCUGCAUGCCGUGCUGCUGUGUCCUCAGUGUCCAUGCUCCAAGUGGCUUGGCACAGAGAGAGCUGAGAGGGAGCUGGUGUGAGCAGUCACACCGCACGUUCAAGCCAACCACUGUGGUUGCCCUUCGUCAUGGCAACUCCUCAAGUAUUUGUACCGCCUAUGUGGUGGCCUGGUCUGCAGUGAUGCAGAAGGCACCAGAUGUUCUCCACCGCCUUGUGCUGCGCCUGGGCCCGAGGAGCAGCCAGGCUUGGGUGGUUGUGUCCGUCGGGACCCUGUGUGGCUGGAAGGGGGGCCGUUACACUGUAAGAGAGUGAGUAGCAGGUCUCACAGUGAACCGGUCUCUUUUCCCGCUGUGUCAUGCCACUCCGGAUGACUCCAGAGUGAGAGGGACAGAGGGGGAGCUGGGCUGCUGUGCGUCAGGAGAGGGCAGGAAUUGUGUUUGUCAAGGAGUCGUCGCAUUGCAAGUGUUCCUUAGAUUUGCUUAUACAAUGAAAACCCACAGCCAUUAUGAGACAUGGGUAUUGGACUUUGCCUGUAAAUAACAGCAGUCUUCUUGAAACAAAUAAUGUCUUUCUGAAGGACCUUAGCCCUGUGGCAUUGCUCAAGGAGAAAAAAAUGAAGAAAAAAAAAAGGCAACCGUUUUUGAGCAAGCAAAUAUUUAGGGUGUAUAUAUAUAUAUAUAAUUAUAUUUUUAUGUGUAUGUAUCCUUGCUCUUUCUGUCAGUCUCUGUUAUCAAAAUAUUUUGUUCUGUGCUUCAGCACUGUCCUCAGGGCUUCCAAGUAGCAUGCUGGUAAAACAGAAUAUCUUCAAUAGCAUCUGCUCAACAUUGCUGUAUUUCCAACUUUCUCUUUGUUGAGAGCUACCUUUCAUCAGGUAGUGAGUCUGCAGGAGUGCAAAAGACUGGAUCUUUUACAGAUCCUACAAAAGAACUUACACAAAUUGAAUUUUUAAGGUUCCCAAGUACUACUUUAUAGAAUAAGAGGAGAAAUGUAUUAAAUUAUAAGAAGCAAUGUGCUACUUCAAAAUGAUUGCUGGAUUAAUAGUUUGUAUCAAAUGGCAAUUUUAAUUCUCUCUCAAUUGGAGAAAUAGAAAGCAAUUAAUCUUCUGUAGCACAUUGUGAAAAAUAAGGGCUUCUACAGGAUCUCAGUGAAGCUGUUCCUUCACUUAACCUUGAGUUGGGCAAUAAAUAAUUAUAAAUGCAGCUACAUCUCAAAGCGAAAGUAAUUUGGUGAAAUAGAAUUAUCAUCUAAUGCAGGAAUAAGAAACUUGAAUUAGGUUUCCUGAUGUCCUUUGUUCCAGAAAAGUAUGAAUUUGAUUGUGAUUUGUGCAUAAAAGAGUGAAGCUGGGUUUUGCAGAGUGGAUUUUAUACCCAAACUAUCACAAGCUGAUUUAUAUUGCAAUGUUGACAUAGGCAAAUGCUCUUGUGCUCUCUCAGCUGUAACUCAUGUAGAGCCUCUGAUGAGAGGACUUGUUUUACAGAGGGAGAAGGCAAUGUCCAAGGUGCAUGGGUGCAUUAACAUCUGUCAAAUAAUUUCUUGCUCUUUACUAAGGGCUCCCUACUGUCAGUACUUCCUUCCACAAAAUUUUCAGUGUGUCCGUCAUAUAAAGUUUCUGUUCUGCUGUGGCGUGCUGCUGAGGAGACUAAGGAUACAACAGAGAGCUGCUUCAUCCUGAGCUUCUGUCCUGAUCACAGUGCCAUCCCUUACAGCUCCCAUGCAUGCCUUGCAGAUCCCAAAGCAGUGUUGCUAACCUCGCUUCACCUUGGGACUUUUCAGUGGAAAGUGGCCAGUGAAAGGAUCAAUGAAGCAUGUAUGAAUGGGUCAGCAGUUCAUAUCAUGGAGCAGUGUGCAGGAUACUCUGGUAAGGAGAGGCAAAGGAUGGGAGAAAAAAUAUAAAUGCAGGAGUGAAAAGAGAUGUAUUUUUUUAGUGCAGAAAAAUGCCUCAGCAUACUGCUCCACUAAAGCAGUAGCCAGGAGCUAUUCAAGCCCCAGACUAAUUCCAUAAAAACGGGAAACGAAGACUCAGUUUCUGUUCAGGAAGAAAGCAUUCCGAAAUAUAAUAAAGCAAAUACUAUUCUGCUUUUCUUUGAACUGUUCAUCUCUGUUUCCCAGAUAAAUUCUUGUUCCUUAUACUGUCUUCUCAGUAUAAGGAACAAGAUACUUAUUCCUAGAAAACACAGCUAGCAGUGGCAGUGGGUCUGUAGGACAUUGUUGAGUCUGCACAGUAAUUUCAUGGGGGUAAUGUAUGUCUGGAGUGAGCCAUAUUUAUACUUCCCUGGUGGACACUUCACUAGGUGAUUAAGACUCAUUUACUUUUACCCAUUUUGUCUGGGUGUUGAUGGUGUGCUGCGGAGUAUUUACAAACUAAACUGAAGAUUUCUUUCUUUUAUAAAAUUUAAAUAAAUGUGAUGUGCAAUUGCUCAUAUACUCUUAGUUUCUUCUGUGGAAAUUUGAGACCAACCAAAUGGCUACAAAGGCUGAUGCAGUUUGUCAAAAAUUAUGGAACUAAAUAAAGUAUGGAGUAGAAGCUAUGGAACUAAUGUUUGUACAUUCCCCCCCUCACGCACACUUUUUUCCCCUUUGAUAUAUUUAUUUGUUCCAUUAUAAGGAAAAAAUGUAGAAGUGCAAAGCUAAUCAUUCUUUAUUAAAGACUGUGGUCUUAAGUCAGUUUGCUGACCAAUUUGAAACCUAGAGGAAGGGGACAUUUAGUUCUGUAUCUGCUCAGUCUACUUGGUCCUGGUUGCUAAUUGCAUAAGUUUAUAGUGGUGUUUGGAAUGUAUUAGACUGCUUUUUUUGCUAUAAUGUAGCCCAUUGUGUAUUUAGAAAGGUAUGAUUUAUUGGAGAAACAGGUGUGGACACAUGGAAAAACAAUUUGUCGUAGAGAGUUAUUUCUAGAUGACUAGUAAAAUGUUGAUGCCAAAUAGGUCAUAAUUAAUCAGCAAGAAGUCUUUUCCUUAGUUUCCUCCUGUAGGUAAACAGACUCAGGACAUCCAUCAAAUCAAAACUGAGAGAAUGAGAGAACAGUCUGAGUCUCCAGUUAGCAAAGCAGUUGUAUUUCUUUGAAGCAAUCCCAGCAGGGUGCUUUGCUGAGUGAUUGCAAAAUUGGCUUCAAAAACAAAUCCUGAAUUUCUUAUUUCUCGUAGGUUCCUUUAAGUUUUAAUAUACUUCUGGUGGCUGCUGCAUACCAAGAAGGUGAACAAUGGCACAGAAAAUGGGCUGAUACACCAAAAUUUUUCUCUGAUUUCCCCUGAAGUGGCCUCACACCUUUUCUUUCCUCUUCAAUGUGUUGUGGUGUGAAAGUAUAUCAGUAGUUACUUAGUGAGCUCUAAUCAUGCUGAACUCACUAAGCACAAAAGUACAUGUCAAAAACUUCUGUUGAUUGUCUGUUUUAAAGCAGCUUUGUCACAGUUAUUUCAAAAGCUUUAGGUCUGGAGAUGUCUGAUCUGAAGAUGAAACAAGUGGUAGGCUAGUUUUUAUGCUAUACUGUAGUAAUCUGAAAAUCUCAGUAAGUUUUGUUAACUGUAAAUGUAAUUUCACUUAAUUUAUGUCUGUUUUGUGCUGUGAGAGAUCUCUAAUGCUAAGAGGUAGGACUUGCACUGCACACUGUGCUGGUCAUGGAGCAAGAGUGGACAUUGGUGGAUCUGCCAUGCAGAUGGUUGAUUUUUGAUUUUGCUUUGGUAGAUGCAAGAAUAUGUCAUUCAUCUUCUUGUUCAGCAGUUUGGGAAUUAGAGUCACUUCAUAAUACCUAAAAGUCAAAGAAUUUCUAGGUAUCGUUCAUUUAGGGUAAGGUCCAUAGAGCUUAGUAAUUAGAGAAUCUGCAGGGAAGGUGGAAACUUCCUGGAUGUGGAAAAGAGGGGAGAGUUUGAGUGUCCAUGGCAGGAAUGGGUCCUCAGAAAACCACCUGCUUAAUUUGCAAGACUUGACUUCUUUUCAAAAAUCUGAAGAAUUAGCUUGCUGGAAUGAGUCCCAGAAAUCCAACAGUUAGGUGAGGUCAUGUGUGUAGUUUCAUAAUUAGGUUGUGCUGUAAAUGAGGAAAAGCCAUAAUCAAAAUUGUUGUUCAAUUCCUUAGGUAAAGGUCAUGUGUCAUAUCUUUACAGUGGUUUUCAAACUAGGUAUAACUUUAGAUUAAUUUUCCAAAAAUGCCUAUGAAUUGCUUAAGAAACUCCCUUAGUUUUGAUGCACAAUCAAAAUAGCAAAAGCACUGUUUCAGGAUUCAGUAUGUUAGUUGAAUGUUUACCUUUGCUCAAAAACUGGCUAUCCAAGCAUUUUCUAUUGCAUUCUAGUGUCUAAAGAAGGACACUGGAAUUCAGAUGCUGAACCAGUAUUUUCAAAAUCUAGUUUAUCUGAACGCCUAUAAUUUCUACAGUUCACUGUAUCUGUCCUACUAGAAACACAGCCUGUGGACCGCUAGUGUCCUUGGGAAGAUUUGUAUUGGGCUCAAGAGCUGUCCUCUUUUGCAUGAAUGUUGGGGUCUUCCUAGGCAGAACUGAGUGAUUUGUUUCCUUAGGAGCAGUGAAUUCUUCUUGGAUCCCAAUUGGCCAGCAGCUGAUUUUUAGCACCUUUAGUAUGAAUGCUUUGUGAUGACCCCAGGACAAGUUUGUGUGGAGCCUUUUUUCCAGGUUUUUUUUUUUAUUAUUAUUAUUUUUUCAGUCUGCCUUGUGUCCAUCUGUUUCUUUCCAAAGAUGAACCUCUUUGUAUAAUUCACAAAAGCCUUACAUGUGUGCCUUAUGAGUAUGAGGAGAAUGUGCUUAGGUACAUCUGUUCUCCCUCCUGUGAUUAAACAAGGAGGAAAGAAAACUUGUGCCUUCCAGCACCAGUUCUCCCCAGGGCAGGAGGUUAACAUUUGACAAGAUGACUGCCCUUUUUAUUAAAGAGUCCCAGCAAAAGCAGAUGCAGAUUUCAUCAAGGCUUGAUCUUUUGAAAUUCACUUUGCCUACUCAGCCAACUUCUCAGAGGAUUUUUCCCACAGCUCACAAAGGAUCCAUCUGGAGAAAAUUGCUAAGCAAUAUUUACCAAUCCAUCUGUGCUCUUGAGUGUCUAGACCUGUGUAAGGGCUGAAGUAAAGUCUUUAUAAGCUGUCAUGCUGAAAACUAUUUUGAAGUCCUCCGGUGGUUUGCAGCAUAGGAAACGUAAAGAUUAGAAAUUCUGCUAGGGCAUUUUUCACGUUCAUUCCAAUUCUUCAGCAAUUUGUAGAGCAAAUUCUGUUGUAGUUUUUUAUGAUUUUUAGGUAAUUGAAUACUGCAUCUCAUUCAUAUGUGCCUAUGUCACUGGAAUUAAGGUUACAGGGAGUACUUUUGCAUUGCCUUUUUUCCGAUUUCUAAAUAUUUAGCUUUGCUCCCUAGUGUUCUCCAAGGCCAUUCAGACACAAAUGGAUAGACCUGUAUUCCCAUUUUUGAAAGCUGGAAAUGUGACCACUAAAUAAAUAGCAGCUGUAGCCAAGAAAUGACAAAUUUCUUCCAGUUUUCAGUGCUUGAUUUUCAUUGCAGGGAUCUGUUUGUUUCUGUAUAGUUGUCAGUGUGUGUAGUUUGCUGCAGAUUUAUUUAUCAAGCUUUUUCUUACGGUUCAUGCAUCCCUAACUUUAGGAAUAAUGCAGUUCUCUGCUGAAGUGUCCUUCAAUAGUGAAGCUGCUGUGAUCAUGCUGUGGAAGAGCAGGGCUGGCAUGAAUGGAAUCUUGGGUAGUGUAAUAUUUCUCUUUGCUUUGGACCUUAACCUUCUGCUGGAGUGAACUGACAUUUGGACAAGUGCAUCUGCACAGACCAUCCUGCACCAUCAGAAUUCUGAUUUGCUUGCAGGGUUGGGAAAGAAUGGUGCUGCAUAUUAAAAUAUGUGUAGGCUUUUCAUCCUCGCUACUUCAACCUUUGGCCUUGAAAAGCAGAUUAUUAUCUAUUGAGUAAGAAUUGUAUUUGUAUUUUGGCAGUAUGUUAAAAUAGAGCCUUAGCAAAGAGACAUCAGUUGCCGUUGCCCAAGAAGUAAUAUUGAUUUCAAGAAGAUGAAGAAGCUUUUGUCUUCUUGUUACAAAAGAUUGUAAUAUUGACAUAACAGAAACUGAAAAAUUGAACAUAAUAUAGUGGGGGAUUUGAAGGACAGCACUGCAAAGAAUUCUUUAUAGUUACUAGGCUGUAAAAGCAUGUGGCAAAAUACUCUCAGCUUUCAUUCUAUAUUUACCUUCUGUGACAGCCUUCCAAACCACUGUUGUAGGCCUGGGAACUCUGCUGCUGUUUUCCUUGGAGACCUAAGGAACCUGACAUGUAUGGAGCAUUUCCAGUUUUUGUGUUAAUUUGUGUUGCUGAGCCCACAAGUAAAGCCUUGACUAGGGUAUUAUUGAAUACCUAGUAAAAGUGAAGGGGAUGUUGGGGGAAAUAUACUUCAGCAAGUUUCAGAGACCACAUUUUCUCCUUUCCUUUUGAUGGUGCUUUCUGUGGAAUCUUUCCUUACAAAGAGAAUAAUGAAAUCUUAAGUCCAUCACACAAUUAAAAGAUGCUGGGUUUUACUCUGUAAUGAGAUCUCAGAGGCCCAGGACACCAUUCCUGCUCUCCCUUUGGAAGAAAAAUGAACUGCAGCUGCAGCAGCUUGGCUGGCUGCUGUGGCCAGAGAGGCUGGGAAGCUGUCAGAGGAGUCUGAGAUGGAGCAAUACGUUUCCAGUAAUUUUGGCUCUUUAUGCAAAAUAACAUCUGUGCCCAUAAAGAGAAGUUAUCCUUCCAGGGAAGUGUCCUGAAAGACAUUUCAAAGCCUGCAGCAUAGAAAUGGGGUUUUGGGAAGAAGGUAGAUUUGGAAAGUAUUUAAGAGUGAAAUCUUCAGGGAACAGGGUAUAAAGUGAAUGUUUUCUGGGUUACAGUAUGUGGGAGGAGUAUAAAUAAACAUUUUCUGGUCACUUUUACUGUGACUUCUGGAAUGCUGCAAGGGUUAUUUUAUUGCUUCAGGACAAGAAGUCACAAGCAGGUGAUGGGACAGGGACGGGUAUUGCUGUUUCUUCUAAAUAAAGACAACAGGCUAUAGCAAUGACUGCUGCCUCCUGCCCAAUUUGCAGUAGAGGGGGAGAAUCCCUCCCCUGCUCAGAGGUAAAGUUUAGCAGAAUAUUUCUGGUUGUUUGGAAAAGUAGAAUUUGAGGAAUGCUGCGAACAUUCCUUUAUUUAAAGUGAAAAACACAAAUCUGAAAUGUAUAGACAAGAAAAAGAGAAGAGGGGAAUGCAUUCCUUGUUACAGUUUCCAUAUCCAAGUUGUUGUUGAAGAAAUAAAAAUGCUCUCAUUCCUUUCCCUUGCUUGAAGUAAUCUAUUUAUGCCUUGUACUUCUAUGAAGUGUUGUAGAAAAAAAUUAUAAUUACACUAUAUGAAACUAAUUCUUCUACACUGAAUUAAGUUUAAAAUAAUGUUGAAUCCAUAUUUCCAUUAGCAAGCAAUGAAAAAGCUAUUAAGACUAAGACUUUACACACAAUCAGUUCAAUUCUUGCAAAUGUUUCUACAGAAGCAUGGUGCUGCAGAGCUGUAAAUAAAUGGAAGCGAUAGCCUGAAAUGUGCUGUAAUAUCUGUACUACCUAAAAUUUCAAUUCAAGAAAAAUGUUUUUUUCUUCUUACUAUUCAAUUAGAACUACAGAGGGGGCAGGUUCAAAGAGGUACUGAGCUCUUUUUUCCUAUAUGUCGUAGGAAAAUUAGUUUUAUCACUUUUGCAUUUUCUCCAAGCCCCCAUCUGUAGGGAAAGCAUUUAGCUCCCUUACUUUUAGAGUAUCAAUCCAUGCAUAGGUGUAUUAUAUUGUUUCAAUUAUGGCGUCACUGGGCCACUUUUCAUCCAGAGCUUGUAAAUACAGAAAAACUCCAGAAAUGUCCAACUUCCACUAAAAAGUUACUUACAGACUUAUUUUGUGAGUAUGCCAUAUGCCUGAGGUCCUCAGGUUAUACAGUAAUGGGUAUCAUAAAAAUAGGAUAGAUAUUCAUUAUCACUUCCCAAGGGAGUGUUUUGGAUUAAGUAACUUAAAAAUUCCCACCAGACAGAAAGUCUUUGUUAAGUGCAUUUUAUUUUUUGCAGAUGAGCUCAUUACAGUAUAACUGCUGAUAAACUUCUUUUGAUCUGUGGCAAGAUGUAACUGCUUUGGCCCAGUCAUUAAUUCAGGACACAAAGAUGUGCCUACCAGUGUGUCAGAAUGGGAGGACUGUAAUAAUUGGAGGCAGAUAGAAUUUAUUAAACUUUCCCUAGUAAUAUGAGAAAAGCCUGGCACAUGGCUCUCCAUAGCACUGCCCAGAAAUGUGUGCUCUUCAAAGGACACCCCCUGAAGUACAGGUUGAUUCUGAAGUCAGUCUUCAUCUGUGCUAGUACAUCAGAGGGCAGAAUUUAGCCCAAAGUUUCUUAAAAUAAUUUUCAAUGCUUUACAUUAGUAAAACCCUGCUGUGGGUUAAAACUUUGUCAUCAUGCUUUUUCUGUGCUCCUUUUCCAGUGCUGCUGUGAGCCAUGGGAAGAGCAUGGCUUUUUCUGUGAGACUGAAAUGCUGUGAUCAGUGAACAAGUGUGCCCAGUAACGUGAUUCCCUCGCAGAAGAGGUGCUGCACGUGGUGACUGCAAUGUCCCCAUCCCAUUCUGGGUGUUAGCAGAGCUAAACCACAGCAGCUCCUUGGUCCCUUUUCACACUGUGCUAAAGCCAUGCAGUAGGUGUGCUGUAGGUCCACAGCCUGCAGAUUGAUUCAGUGCCUACAACCUGGAAACAGGAGGCAGUUAUUUUCCAGCUUCCACCCAAGAGGUACCAUCUAAAUUGUGACCUUCUGUGCCAGACUUUGUUCCAGAGCCAGAUUGUAAAUGCUUUGUAUGCCAGCUUUAGCUGGGAAGUCCCAACUACUCUCACCAUUGUAACAUUAUCUUCCAAAGAGCCAACGAAAAUACAGUGUUGAUGUGUUCCUUUUGGUGCUCAGAUGCCAUUACAUGUGAGGUAUUAUCCUGAAAACCACAUUAUCACAGUAACUCAGGGCCUUUGGGCAUCUGAUGUUGCCAAUUGCUUUCACUUCUUGCUGGUAUGUAAUUUAUCACCAGCGUGGCCCACCCUUUGUGGGCAGAGGCGAAGUUAAUAUACUUUCAAAGUGUAUUUGAAUUGCUUCCAUAAAUCACAGCUGUCACUGUGAGCAGUUUUAUCACUUGCCAGAACAAUAUGUUAUGCUCAUGCUUUAUAGCCUUGGUACUAUUCUGAACUUUUAUUUGUCUAAAUUGUAAUGCAUCAUAACUUAUUUUAUCAAACAAAUUUGAGCAGCCCCAGUUUUUUUUAUUAUUAUUCUAUUUUUCCAUCGAAACACUGUAAAGAGCAUUUUUAUGUGACAUGCUUUAUAGUUGUAAUUAUUACUUUUUAUUAGUAAUUAGCUCUAAGAACACUAGCAGUUUGCUUUCUAUUUGUUAAUUUUCAUUCUUCUAAGAAGUUCAUGCAGCUGGGGCAGCUUUGUUUUUGUAGCUCAUUUCCUCUCCUACCCUGCUGUGUAGCAGGAAGAGCAACUACAUGGCAGUCAUGAGCCAUGGAGUUGGAUAUGGGGAGGAGGAGCCUCAUAGAUUUUAUUUGUUAUUUGUGCAGAAUAUCCACCAGAUUAAUCAAUUGUGUGGAUUUAAAAUAAGAAGCCUUGUGAAAUCCAGAAGGCAGGUGAAGCCAUCCUACCUGAGAACUCAAGGAUAGCGUAGCAGGGAGGUCAUGAGCAGUUAUUUAUGCCUAAGGCAUAAUUAUUGCCUUCAUCUGGGAGUGCUUCCCCUGAAUCAUAGAGGAGCACGAGCAGUAUGAGUGCUCAGAGCUGUGCUGCGGUGCCCUGGCUCGGGCACGGGCUGGGCAGUGGGAGAGUUGUGGCUCAGCAGGCAGAGCCACUCAGCUGGGCAAGGACCAGCUGUGCCCACACUGCCUGCCCGCCCCUGUCCCUGUCCCAUCUGCCAGCUCAGGGUCCUGCUAACAUCUCUGGAAGCUCUGCUCAUCCAUCAUCUUUCUCUUCUUUUGCCAUAGCUGUAGAUCUGUUUGUGAGUGUGACCUGUGACUGGUUUAGGACUUCACUGCAAUAAGAGACUCCCCUCAGCUCUUCUUUCUCAGGGAUGCUCUGACAUUAAAUGCACUGUUUCCAGAACAGUAAAAUAUCUCCUUUUUUACAGCCAUGACUAAAAUACCAGUGAAUAUUUAUGAACCAAUUUGCCGUGGCUUCUCCUGUGAUGGGGAAAAAAAAGUGUGGGUUUUUUUUUUUUAAUUGAUGCAAUAGCUCAUUCCAGAAUAUGAGAACAAAGUCUAUAAAGUAGUCAGUUUUAUAAUUAGAAAAUUAUUUAUUUGCAGCAGAUAUAUUUGCUAAAAUGUGAAGAUUGCAGUUCCUCCAUUUUUAAUGUGAAAAAGAUAUGCUAAUUGUUUAAAAUUGAGCAGUGUCUCUAAUGGAAUUUUUUUAGGUGUAGAUCAAGUUCUUUGUCAUAAGCAGUAGUCUAAAGGUAUGACUUAGGUUUGUCCUUUUACAGAAGUUAGGAUUUAUUCUCAAGGUUUGCACUCAGAAUGAGCAGUAGUUGCUAAAGAAUGUUCUGCAGAUGUAUUUGCAGAUCCUGUGAUUUUCUCUUCUCAAAAAUUUUAGCUACACAAACAUUUUCAGCAGAUUGGCUAGGCACAUCAGCUACCACUUCAGAAAUGCAUGUUGUAAAUUUUACAUGAAGAGACAUUUUUGGCAGCUGCUUUGUGGUUUGACUUUGAGAAACCCCAGAAAGGGUAUGUGAAAUCAGUUACCCCAUCCAGACCAUGUAAGCAAGAAACAAGUAUUUUAGCCUAAGGAUGAUUUGGAGGAUGGUACUGUAUUAGAUUCAAUUAUUGCACACCGAGGAAUUAAUAAUAAUGAAUAUAUUCUUCUGCUCACAUACAUAGAUUGUUUCAUAGGAUCAGAGGAACUACGGACGGAGGAUAUUCCCAAUUUAUGUGAAAAACA